UGGGGAAUAUUGGACAAUGGGCGAAAGCCUGAUCCAGCCAUGCCGCGUGUGUGAAGAAGGUCUUCGGAUUGUAAAGCACUUUAAGUUGGGAGGAAGGGCAGUAAGCGAAUACCUUGCUGUUUUGACGUUACCGACAGAAUAAGCACCGGCUAACUCUGUGCCAGCAGCCGCGGUAAUACAGAGGGUGCAAGCGUUAAUCGGAAUUACUGGGCGUAAAGCGCGCGUAGGUGGUUCGUUAAGUUGGAUGUGAAAGCCCCGGGCUCAACCUGGGAACUGCAUCCAAAACUGGCGAGCUGGAGUAGGGCGGAGGGUGGUGGAAUUUCCUGUGUAGCGGUGAAAUGCGUAGAUAUAGGAAGGAACAACAGUGGCGAAGGCGACCACCUGGGCUCAUACUGACACUGAGGUGCGAAAGCGUGGGGAGCAAACAGG
rnacentral:rRNA from 1 species